rnacentral:rRNA from 1 species
GCCUAACACAUGCAAGUCGAGCGCGCCUUUCGGGGUGAGCGGCGGACGGGUUAGUAACGCGUGGGAAUAUGCCCUUUGGUACGGAAUAGCCUCUGGAAACGGAGAGUAAUACCGUAUGAGCCCUUCGGGGGAAAGAUUUAUCGCCAAAGGAUUAGCCCGCGUUAGAUUAGGUAGUUGGUGGGGUAAUGGCCUACCAAGCCUACGAUCUAUAGCUGGUUUUAGAGGAUGAUCAGCAACACUGGGACUGAGACACGGCCCAGACUCCUACGGGAGGCAGCAGUGGGGAAUCUUGGACAAUGGGGGCAACCCUGAUCCAGCCAUGCCGCGUGAGUGAUGAAGGCCUUAGGGUCGUAAAGCUCUUUCGCCUGUGAAGAUAAUGACGGUAGCAGGUAAAGAAACCCCGGCUAACUCCGUGCCAGCAGCCGCGGUAAUACGGAGGGGGUUAGCGUUGUUCGGAAUUACUGGGCGUAAAGCGCACGUAGGCGGAUCGGAAAGUUGGGGGUGAAAUCCCGGGGCUCAACCCCGGAACUGCCUCCAAAACUAUCGGUCUAGAGUUCGAGAGAGGUGAGUGGAAUUCCGAGUGUAGAGGUGAAAUUCGUAGAUAUUCGGAGGAACACCAGUGGCGAAGGCGGCUCACUGGCUCGAUACUGACGCUGAGGUGCGAAAGUGUGGGGAGCAAACAGGAUUAGAUACCCUGGUAGUCCACACCGUAAACGAUGAAUGCCAGUCGUCGGGUAGCAUGCUAUUCGGUGACACACCUAACGGAUUAAGCAUUCCGC